rnacentral:lncRNA from 1 species
AAAAGAUAGACCACUGAACAGACAAUUAGAAUCUGCUGUGAUAGGUGCUGUGCUAGAGACAGACACAGGGGCUGGGAGAUUAGGGUCCUUGGAGGAAGUGGCAUCUCAGCUGACUGUGAAGACUCGCAGAAGUUAGCAAGUUAAUGGGGAACGGGAGAUCAUGGCAAACAAGGAUGUGCAAACAAGGAGCACAGCUCAGGGGACUCAAUAUGGAGCAGUAGGGCCAAGCAUGGCAUUGCUUGGUAAGUCCAGUCCCAUUCAGGAAGCCUAUUGAGCUCUAAACCAGUGUCUCCCUCUGUGCUUGGGAGUAAGAGCAGCAUCAGACCAUUGCAAACCUACUGGAUUGGCUGAUACUCAUUGACUGGAUGGAGAUUUCAGAGGCAAACCUAGGCUUCUCCAGAGGAAAUUGCAGCAUCCAAGAACAUAUUGGCGACGUGAAGUGAGGAUUUGCUGUACAGUGAAAUAAUGAUGAAGUGUCGCUGGAGGCGAAGCCUGGGAGUGUGUGCUCUGAGAUGGUCCUGCCCAGCUUUGGUUAAGACCAUGCCCCGGGCCAUGCAGGCUGGCAUUCCAUAAACUUGCCUGGCUCCUAGAAUAACCCAGAGGCAUUUGCUGUAAUACAUAAUACGUAGGUUCCUAGGCUCCACUUCAGAGCUCCUGAGUCAGAAAAACCCCAAAAGCACCCGGGACAUUUAUUUGAAUAAAGCACUUGUCUAAGGCACUUACCCAAGGACCAUUCAUCCAAAGGUGCUCAGCACAAAUAUAUUGAAUAAACUAGACCAUUCAUAUGGAAGGUCACUUUUGAAUUUGUUGUGGAAAGUGCUUUGGACUAAGACCUGGCUUCCCCUUCUGUUCUGCCCUAAUCUGCUGAGCAGCCUCUGGCAAGUCACUUCCUCUCUUUGGACCUCAGUUUUCCCACUGGUAAAAUGAGAAUGGCUGAGGUGACCCUUUCUGGCUCUCACGCCUUUGAAUAGCAUGAAUAUUUAUUGAGUGCACCUUUAUAAGAAACAUCCAAACACAGGGCUGCAGGCUUUGAUUUGGAUCUCCCAGCACUAAUGUUUGAGGCAAAACACCUUAAUUUGCUGUGAAACAGUGAAUCUUUGUGGACAGGAGUCCUUUUUAUCUAACGAUUGAUAAAGCAGGCAUCUCCUCCUUCUGGGUAAACACUGAAGACAUUACCUAACCACUUCAUCCUGUGUGAUCCCAAGAUGCAAUUGUUCCCCUCCACAUGGGAAAGGCCAAAGGGACAGACAAGGCAAGUAAUAAACAUGCCUUAACUUGAAGAGUCCUUCAGUUUCCCAACUCCUUCCACACCUGUGGCCUCAUCUGACUUCAACACACAACUGUAAGGUGGGCAAGUCAGGAGCGUUACCCUCAUCUGGUCAAGGAGGCGCCCCAGCUCUUUCAAGUCAAGCUGGAGCUGCAUUCUCAACUUCUCCAAUGUGGGUGUGUGUUCCCCUGAAGAAGUUGUUUGUGAAUGAGAGAAGGGAGCUUGUUGGUUCACCCUCAGCACCUAGAACCAUGCCUGGCAUUCAGCACUAGUAAUUACCUGCUGAAUGAAUGAAUGAGUCUGGUCCUCAUUCCCUGAUUAUGACCUCUCAGGAAGUUUAAAGAGGUGCAAGGUGGUCUGUGGGUGUUUAGAGAAUCACUUUUAUUGCCACAGUCAUUUUUAUUGUUCUCAUGUCUACCGUUAAACUCUACAUUUUAGGAUGCUGUUGAAAGGCUGUUGAGAACAGAAUUUCCUAGUGUGAAAGUUAUUAGAGAAAUAAGAUCAAAUGGCUGCUAUUCACCCUUGAGAAAUUUCUAUCUCUGUAUGGUAGGUGGGAAAAGAGGGGGAAAACAUUGUCUCUCUAGAGGCCCUGAUCUAAGGCAGCCACUUCUGAUAAGGCUCACCUGAAAGAGGUGGCAUCAUCAUAAAACUAUCAGGUGGAUCGUCAGAAAAGAUGACAGCUGGGAGACCCUAGUAUCACAAACUAGCUGUGAUGCCUUCAGCAAAGUCCUUCACCUUGAAUUCUACCUCUCGGGUGGGACAACUCUGAGAUGUGUUCUCUGCAGUAAUCUCACUCAGAAAAUGAGUUCUUCCCUGGGAUGUGAUGAAGGGCUUGUGAGGUGGCAGCUGGAAGGCCCUUUCAAGAAAGGAACAACUGCAUUACCAACACUGAGCAAUGGCAUCAGGAUCUCUUAUAUCAGAAGCUACAAACUGGGACCAGCACAUGAGCUUGUGUAGCCUGCAGUGUUUUAAAAUUUUUCAAUUUGCUACCAAGACAUUUGAAAAUCUAGGGAUUUCUAAUACAAUUUAGAUUUAUAGUUUCUCUCGAAUAAUGGGUCCACAUUCUUGCAUGGCCAACAAUUGGUUGAAGCCAAGUAGCUUCUUCAGCUUCUCACUGACACAGAGGCUAUCACCUUUCUCCCAGUAGAGAAACAGUUUUCUGCACCCAUGGCAGGCACUGUUGGUGCCUAGCCCUCCUCCCCUGGCACCUCCAAUCUCCAUGCACACCAGCCAGGUGGCUUCUGACUGCAAUUCCCUCUACUUCUUUCCCUGGGAGGUUUCUUUGGACAGCUGAGUAUUCUCAGCCUAACCGCAGGAUGGACCAGAAACGUCAAGGAGCUGCCCCUGGGAGCAAGCCUCAAGAUGUGAUGGAUGGGAGGUGGUGAAGAAGUACCUGGACUCUGAGGCACACUCUACAUUGUCCCCUGGAGGUCCUGAGCAGGGUUGAACCCUGAAUGCCUCCAGCAAGAGCCUACUCAUGAACAUGCUGUGUUGGCUUCCCUUUCCUCCUGGUUUCCUGGAAUCGCCUACCAAAUAAGCAACUUGCACUUAAAUAGUUGCCUCAGGGUUUGCUUCUAGGGACCCCAACCUAAGACAGUAAGCUGGACUCCUUUCAAAAAGGAAAAUGAAAAAAAGACCUUGCAGCUGACCUUGCCCUGCCUAGCAUUUUCUAUUCUAGUGCCCUAUGAGAUGACAUUUCAGCUGAUACUUGAGACGACAGGUGACAAACCACUCUUUCCAGUGCAGAGGUGGCCUUGGGCAUCACUGAAUUGCAUGUGGCUUGUCUUCAGGGUUCUUGUACCUUGAAAUUAUCUCUCUUAAUUCCCAGGUUCUCAGAAGGCAGUCACAUCUGGACAGCAUUCCUUGACUACGCAUCAAUAUUCCAUCAUGUCAUUGCCGGCUGUGAGGAGGAAAGUGACCUCCUAAACAAAUCCGUGCACGUGUAAAUGACAGCUGCUGGUUUGAAUCUGUUUCUUCUCCCACCACUUCCUCUUCUGAUCAAAGAGCCCACCUUUUCAUUUGGAGGAACCAUUUCUCAACUGGUCUCAUUCUGUGAGGUUUAGAGGUAGGAAUUGAACUUAGCUCUGUCUAGAGCCAAAUCUACUCCAAAAGUGUUCUUAACCACUACUGUGGGGUGGCUGACAGUACAGGCUCUGGAGUGACAUCUGCCACAGUUCAAAUCUCAGCCAUACCUCAUACUAGCUAGGAGGCUGGGGUAAAUGCCGCUCACCUUUCUAGCCUUAAUUCCUUUAUCUCUCUCAUGAGCUUAUUGUGAGAAUUUAAAAGAUAUAAUAACCAGAAAGCACUUAGUAUAGUUCUUGGCUCAUUAAAGUGCUCAACAAAUAAUAACUAUUAAUGUUUAAAUUAUUAAGACUCUAGUUGGCUGAAGAAAAGUGAUAGGAAAGCUAGAGGCUCUGGUCUUUACUCUGGGAGCUUCUAGAGAACUCAGACUUUGGUUAUUUCUCUCCUGUCCCUGAGUCCUACCCACAUUGUAAGAGUGAGUGAGUGAGUGAUGAUGGUGUGUUUGUAGAAUUCACAAACCCAUUGAAUAUUCUUCCUGAAGCUUAGCUAAGUGAGCUCCCUGCCAGGAACUUAUGUGUGGACAGCCACGAAUCGUGGCAUCAAAUAAUAUUUAAUUUCACUUCUUCCUAAAUAUUACUGAAUUCCAUUCCCAGUAACUUUCCCUUUUGAAGUUCUCUUUUUGAGGCAGUUCAAGUGGAAAAAGAAAUAACCUAGAAGCAAGUAAAACAACCUUAUUCAAAAACAACAAAAAUCCUUCAGGUAAGUGCAAGGAACUGGGCCCUUUUGUGUUUUUUUGUGUAAAUUAUUUAGUAUACUGAUUAUCCAACAUGUCCUUUAUUAUUUUAGAGACUGCUUCUUCCAUCCCCUAGGGAGAGUGUUUUUAGCUCCAUGGAGCAUGAAUUUUUUCACUUAUCUAGUGAUGAUUAGGUAUAAAAAUCCUUUUUGGUAAGAGAUUCCACUUUUAAUGGUCUCUUCAAUGAACAGUUUUCUGUAAAUAUUGUAUAAGUCUAUUCAGGGAAAAAGAAUGCCCUUGCCUCUGGAUUCUUUAUAACUCCACUCUGAUGAGGGCAUCUGCUGAGUCCCAGCUUGUGGAUCUGCGAGGUUGAUGUGGACUCUAGUUCUGGAAUCCUCUUCUGUUUGGACUUCCUUUUUCCUUGUUAUUUUUUUUGCUUUGAUGGCAUUUGCAUUUCUACAUGGCCCUGGAGCCAGACUGUGACACUUGGUAGCUGUGUGACCUUAAACAAGCUAUUUAACUUAUCUCAUGCUCAUUUUCCUUACUAUAGUCUGAAGAUAAUAUCAGCAUCUACUUUUUAAGGCUUCAGUACAGAUUAAAUAAAUAUCACAGCACUUACCGUGUGCUGGGCACUGCACUGUACUGCCCAGCACAUGGUUAGUACUUCAUAUAUCAGCUCAUCAUCAUCACUGUCAUCAUCAUCGUCGUCAUCAUCGUUGUCGUCAUCAUCAAUGUCAUCACCACCAUUGUCAUCAUCAUCAUUGUUGUUGUCAUAAUCAUCAAGGUCAUCAUCAUCAUCAAGGUCAUCAUCAUCAUAUUGCAACUUUUUUGAGGGCAUGGACAACAUCUUCUCCUUCUUUGCCUCAAAACAUCUACCUCGUUUAAAAUAAUCCAUUAUAUGAAAAAGAUACUUGCACAUGCAUGUCUAUAGCAGCAAAAUUUGCAAUUGCAAAAACGUGGAACCAACCCAAAUGCCCAUCAAUCAAUGAGAAAGAAACUGUGAUAUAUAUAUAUAUAUAUGAAUGAAUGAUGGAAUACUACUCAGCCAUAAAAAGAAAUGAAUUAAUGGCAUUCACAGUGACCUGAAUGAGACUGGAGACUAUUAUUCUAAGUGAAGUAACUCAGGAAUGGAAAACCAAACAUCAUAUGUUCUCACUAAUAAGUGGGAGAUAAGCCAUGAGGAUGCAAAGGCAUAAGAGUGACACAAUGGACUUUGGGCACUCAGGGAGAAAGGGUGGGAAGGGGAUGAGGGAUAAAAGACUACAAAUAAGGUGCAGUAUAUACUGCUCGGGGGAUAGGUGCACCAAAAUCUCACAAAUCCCCACUAAACAACUUACUCAUGUAACCAAACACCACCUGUUCCCCAAUAACCUAUGGAAAUAAAAAAAUUUAAAAAAACAAAAAACAGAAACAAAAAUCCAUCUACUUCCUUGAUCUCUUGCAUAGAACAGGCACCCGUUUAAUUGGAAAUGAGCAAACUUGUUGCUGAUGUUCCUCAGAUGAUUUGGUUUGACUCCAAGAGACUAUUCACAUCCACCAUCCAUUCAUCCAUCUAUCCACCAUUCAUCUUAUCCAUUUCUUCAUUCACCCACCAUUCAUCCCUCUGUUCACCAUCCAGCCAGCCAUCUAUCACCCAUUCAUCUAUCCCUCUACCAUCCAUUCCUUCCUUCAUUCACCCAGUAAAAGUUCAAUUGUGGGAAAACCUAUAGUUUUUAAAUCCUUUUAUUUUAUGACUGAUAUUAAUUGCUAUAUCCAAAAUGUCAAGAGAGAAUCAGCACAGAAAGUGAAUGUUAGAAAUGGAAUCAGAUGCAGAUGACUGGUCUUGGUAUCUGCCAUUUCCUCCCACCCAGAUGCCCUUUUGUUCUUAGAAGCCAAAGACAGUCAUCUUAGAAACUUUCGGGCAACAAAAUUCGUGCAGCCUUUGGAACUAAGAAUUACUAGUCUCUACUUUCUAAUGGUUUAGUAGUCAAUGGAUAUAUAUAAUUUAAGCCAUUUAAUUUGCUUUCAC